UACGAAGGGGGCUAGCGUUGUUCGGAAUUACUGGGCGUAAAGCGCACGUAGGCGGAUUGUUUAGUUAGGGGUGAAAUCCCGGGCUCAACCCCGGAACUGCCUUUAAUACUGGCAAUCUAGAGUCCGAGAGAGGUGAGUGGAAUUCCGAGUGUAGAGGUGAAAUUCGUAGAUAUUCGGAGGAACACCAGUGGCGAAGGCGGCUCACUGGCUCGGUACUGACGCUGAGGUGCGAAAGCGUGGGGAGCAAACAGG
rnacentral:rRNA from 1 species